UACGUAGGGGGCAAGCGUUGUCCGGAUUUAUUGGGCGUAAAGAGCGUGUAGGCGGCCAGACAGGUCCGUUGUGAAAACUCGAGGCUCAACCUCGAGACGCCGAUGGAAACCGUCUGGCUAGAGUCCGGAAGAGGAGAGUGGAAUUCCCGGUGUGAGCGGUGAAAUGCGCAGAUAUCGGGAAGAACACCCGUGGCUAAGGCGGCUCUCUAGUACGGUACUGACGCUGAGACGCGAAAGCGUGGGGAGCGAACAGG
rnacentral:rRNA from 1 species